UCAGUUUUAACUGUGGCGGGAAUGCUCAGAGCUUAAAAAGAAGCCAGGCUACCACAGUAGGAAGAGAGGUCAAAGUGUCAAGUCCAGAGUUACAAAUGUUAAACUAAGACGGACUAGCUGAGUAGCGAAACGUGCAUGCAAGGGCAGCAUGAAAAAGGAUUAGUUUUGUUGUUGCGGUCUCGUGUGUGUGCGUGUGGAGACGCGGAACAGAAGAACUGCAAUCAAACAUGGAACAAAAGCUUGAAAACAAUCUCGGCAGGAUAAAAGAAAUCGGGGAGAGUCAACACAGGAGUAGAUGCCGUUUGGAAACAAGGAGACAAACCCUGCCCCUCUAAGAUGGAAAACGAGCCAGCAGGAGCGCCGGAACAUGCACAGUCGGAGAGGAAUGAGAACAAAACAAGAUAAAAAGAAAGAAAAGGGAUUUUUUUUUUUGAACCCUGGAAAGUAUCCACAUGGCAGGGUGAGGGAACGGCUGAAGUUUGUUUAAAUGGAUUUUGUGGUCCCAGUUCAGUGCGUUACCCAGCCCUGAUAUCGGAGAGGGAAAGGACUGAUUUGGGUCCAUGUUGUGGUUAAGAGAAGGCAGAAUGGUGUGAACAAUAUGUAAGGCUCCCAGCCCUUGGGUUUUGUAUUCUCUGUUCUGUUAUUAUAUAUAUUUAAUAAAAUACAAUUAAUUAUA